rnacentral:lncRNA from 1 species
CAUCUUCUUCGUCGAUUCAGUAUCAAUCCAUUCGUCACACAGUGAGCUAACUCAGAGGAGCUGAGAAAGUGGAGUUUCUAAAGUCAGAGGGUGUGGAUCAUAUUGUUGAUAUCAGCAAAGAAGGUGUUAUUGAAAGUGUGAAGGCGUUUUUGAAAACAAGAAAGCUCUAAGGGGUUGAUGUUUUAUAUGAUCCAGUUGGAGGCAAGCUUGCAAAAGAAAGCUUAAAGGUGUUGAGUUGGGGAGCACAGAUUUUGGUUAUCGGGUUCACGAGUGGGGUGGUCUCAGUUAUUCCUGUUAAUAUUGCUCUUGUUAAGAAUUGGACGGUUAUUUUUGUAGUUUUGGGCAUCAUUAUUCCACUAUCUGUUUGUAUGGGGCGAUCGGUUUGAAGUGUCUUGCUUUAGAAAACUACCAAAAAUGGCACAUUUUCCCAUUUGUCGCAGGGGACAACGUUUGAACUUCAGAAGCAAAUGGAACCUUGACAAAGAUUGUUGUCUGCAAUUUUUUUAUGGUAGUUCAGUGAUACAGGCAAUUGACGAGUUUAUUUCGUGAGUGCUGCUUCUAAUGAAUUCUUCAAACAUGAGAAGGUGUUGUCAACCAAUGAAACGAUGAUAUGGAGAUAUUGCAGGACAAAAUUAAUGCUUUGUUGGGACUUAUGCAGAGAUCUAAUGAACGAUAACUUAAAAGACACUUGAAAAGCUUAAAAGAUGAAAUGUCCUCACAAAUUUACGCUCCGAGCUUAUGGCUUUAAAGUCUUGAUUUUUUUAGGUUGAUACUAGUUUUGAACUUGCAUGGUAGUUUUUUAUAUUGUUUUACAUGUUAUUUUUUCUUGUAGAACAAAAAGUCAUGAUUUCUCUAUGUUGAUCACCGAAUAUUGUAGCUCCAAAACAUGCUA